rnacentral:rRNA from 1 species
UUCCAGACUCCUACGGGAGGCAGCAGUGGGGAAUAUUGCACAAUGGGGGAAACCCUGAUGCAGCGACGCCGCGUGAGUGAAGAAGUAUUUCGGUAUGUAAAGCUCUAUCAGCAGGGAAGAUAAUGACGGUACCUGACUAAGAAGCCCCGGCUAACUACGUGCCAGCAGCCGCGGUAAUACGUAGGGGGCAAGCGUUAUCCGGAUUUACUGGGUGUAAAGGGUGCGUAGGUGGCAUGGCAAGUCAGAAGUGAAAGCCCGGGGCUCAACCCCGCGGACUGCUUUUGAAACUGUCAGGCUGGAGUACAGGAGAGGUAAGCGGAAUUCCUAGUGUAGCGGUGAAAUGCGUAGAUAUUAGGGGGAACACCAGUGGCGAAGGCGGCUUACUGGACUGUAACUGACACUGAGGCACGAAAGCGUGGGGAGCAAACAGGAUUAGAUACCCCCGUAC